rnacentral:rRNA from 1 species
GCUUAACACAUGCAAGUCGAGGGGCAGCACUGGUAGCAAUACCUGGUGGCGACCGGCGCAAGGGUGCGUAACGCGUGAGCAACAUGCCCGUAUCAGGGGAAUAAUCCAGGGAAACUUGGUCUAAUACCCCAUAGUAAAUAUUAAAGGCAUCUUUAAUAUUUUAAAGCUUUGGUGGAUACGGAUUGGCUCGCGUGACAUUAGCUAGAUGGUAAGGUAACGGCUUACCAUGGCUACGAUGUCUAGGGGUUCUGAGAGGAAGAUCCCCCACACUGGAACUGAGACACGGUCCAGACUCCUACGGGAGGCAGCAGUGAGGAAUAUUGGACAAUGGAUGGAAAUCUGAUCCAGCCAUGCCGCGUGCAGGAAGACGGCCCUAUGGGUUGUAAACUGCUUUUAUAUGGGAGCAAUAAGGCCUACGUGUAGGUUGAUGAGAGUACCAUAUGAAUAAGCACCGGCUAACUCCGUGCCAGCAGCCGCGGUAAUAC